AUUGAACGCUGGCGGCAGGCCUAACACAUGCCAGUCGAGCGGAUGAAGGGAGCUUGCUCCUGGAUUCAGCGGCGGACGGGUGAGUAAUGCCUAGGAAUCUGCCUGGUAGUGGGGGAUAACGUCCGGAAACGGGCGCUAAUACCGCAUACGUCGUGAGGGAGAAAGUGGGGGAUCUUCGGACCUCACGCUAUCAGAUGAGCCUAGGUCGGAUUAGCUAGUUGGUGGGGUAAAGGCCUACCAAGGCGACGAUCCGUAACUGGUCUGAGAGGAUGAUCAGUCACACUGGAACUGAGACACGGUCCAGACUCCUACGGGAGGCAGCAGUGGGGAAUAUUGGACAAUGGGCGAAAGCCUGAUCCAGCCAUGCCGCGUGUGUGAAGAAGGUCUUCGGAUUGUAAAGCACUUUAAGUUGGGAGGAAGGGCAGUAAGUUAAUACCUUGCUGUUUUGACGUUACCAACAGAAUAAGCACCGGCUAACUUCGUG
rnacentral:rRNA from 1 species